GCCUGGAUAGCUCGGCCGGGAGAGCGUCAGACUUUUACUCCGAGGGUCCCGGGUUCGAGCCCCUGCUCGGGCG
rnacentral:tRNA from 1 species